GCAUCUUCUUUAAUUCUCCUUUUUAUUUGCAUGUAUUAUGGAUUCUGAUUCCCUUGGAUUGAGAUUGACGUGUGGUUGUUGUCCCUCUUUUACACCCGCUCGGUUCUCUUCAUUCUUGCUGUUUUGACUUUUUUUGCCAUACUAACAAACCGUGGUCGUUCUCCUAGUAGUCGGCAGUGACUUUGGCUAUAGAACCAGAAGCUUCACUACUAGUUCUAGCACAAAUACUCUUAGGCUCCGAACAUCUUAAUUUUGCCAACAUAAGAAGUAUAUGAAUUAGGCUCCACCAAUUGGAAAUGUUAAAAGUAAAUUUGGAUUCUUCUUAUAAAACAGAUUUGAAAAUCUGAUGUGCAAAUAUCAUGAUUCGAAAUUAGAAGAGAGUUGUAAUGCUAAGUGUUAUUGCUUGACUUAUUAAUAAAGAUGCCAAAUAUGACAGA
rnacentral:lncRNA from 1 species